AUUAUUCAGAGUCCAUCAUCUACAGGUUCGUGGAAAGAUUAUUAAAGUCUGGUAAGACCAAUUCUGUGGAAUCUCUUCCAGAACUGUUGACAUCAGACUCUGAAGGAAGCUAUGCAGGAGUGGGUAGUCCUAGAGAUUUACAGUCCCCUGAUUUCACAACAGGAUUUCAUUCAGAUAAGAUUGAGGCGAAAGUCAAACCGUAUGUUAAUGGUACAUCUCCUGUGUAUUCUAGGGAAGAUUUAAAACCAUGGGAAAAGUCACCAAUACUUAAAAUAUCUGCUCCACAGCCUAUUCCCAGUAACAGAAUUGAUACUACCAGCUCUGCCAGUUGGGUUGCUGGUUCUUUCAGUCCUGUCAGCCCUCCUGUUGUGGAUCUCAGAACUAUCAUGGAAAUAGAAGAAAGUAGACAAAAAUGUGGAGCUACACCAAAGUCACAUUUAGGCAAAACAGUUUCUCAUGGAGUUAAACUUUCUCAGAAGCAACGAAAAAUGAUUGCAUUGACUACCAAGGAAAACAAUUCAGGAAUGAAUAGCAUGGAAACAGUUUUAUUCACUCCUUCAAAAGCCCCCAAACCAGUGAAUGCAUGGGCAUCUUCUCUGCAUUCAGUUUCAUCCAAGUCAUUCCGGGAUUUCUUACUAGAAGAAAAAAAGUCUGUUACUAGCCAUAGUUCAGGCGAUCAUGUCAAAAAAGUUUCUUUUAAAGGAAUUGAAAAUUCUCAGGCACCAAAAAUUGUCAGAUGCUCUACCCAUGGUACCCCAGGACCAGAAGGCAACCAUAUUUCAGAUUUACCACUUCUAGACAGUCCCAAUCCCUGGCUAUCUUCUUCAGUGACUGCUCCAUCCAUGGUAGCCCCAGUCACUUUUGCAUCUAUUGUAGAAGAAGAACUACAACAAGAAGCAGCUCUUAUUAGAAGUCGAGAAAAACCGUUGGCUCUGAUUCAGAUUGAGGAGCAUGCCAUACAAGAUUUAUUGGUUUUCUAUGAGGCAUUUGGCAACCCUGAAGAGUUUGUCAUUGUUGAAAGGACACCGCAGGGACCACUGGCAGUACCUAUGUGGAAUAAGCAUGGAUGCUAGUUCACUGUGGAGUUGAGAUGCAUUUUACAUAAUUAUGAGUUUGUUCAUAUAAAGAAAAGCUGUGGAAAAGAGUCUUAGAGAUUUUGUAAUAUCAUUCUAAAUAGAUUAAGAAAAGAUAUAAUUUCUUUACUGCAGUUAAAUCAUAUAAUGUUUGUAUGAUUAAAAAUAAAUUUCUCAGAAUUGUGAUUUUAGUAACUUUAUAUAAAAUGUGUGAGACAAAAACUUAUUAAGGUUAAAUAGAAUUGUUUCUUCUGAAUAAUCUAACAAAGGAAAAUAUAAGUGAUUGAAUCAUAAGAUAUAAGGGGGGUAAAGUAUUAAAAAUAACUUUUUUGUUUGAUAACUUGAGAAUUUAGAAGAUUUUGCCAAGUAUGUGUUGUUGCUUGACUUCUUAAAUAUGGCAUUGAUGAAUUUAAAGUAGGAGCAUCAGUUAUUACUUCUGAUUCAUUAAUGGCCAGAAUUUUGUGUUUGGUGUAAUAGUUGUGUCACCAUUCUUGUUGCUUUUUAAAAAUCAGGCUAAUCAUGUGGUCCAUGUCUCUUCAAAGCUUGACCUGCACAAAUGCCAUAUUUCUAUUUGGACCACAUAUUCUCCAUUUUGCAUUGAGCAGUAGAGUACAGUGGAAAGGGAAUAAGAAUACUGAUUAUUCUGAACAGUUUAGUCCCAAGAGAAUAGCGUUUUAAAAAAGAAAAACAAGAUUUGGAGUCAUUGUGGGUUAUUUUUGGUGGGAUGGAGGAUCUUAAAAAUGCCUAAUUGUGAGAGAAUCAAUUGCUGAAAGUGUUAAAAUUUCUGAAAAUAAAUGCUUAAUUACAUAUACAGGAAUUAAAUAGUUUGGAAGAGGGUUGGAUUAUCAUUACCUUUACAAUACUGUAUAAUCAGAAGUUCUCUGAACCUCAAUUGUAUAUCUAGACAUAAAAAUUGUUUUCUGUAUAGGAUGUUGUUUGGUUUGUUUCUGAGUGUUUAAAUUUUGCAAAAACAAAUGUUAAAUUUGUGCUUCAGUACCUAGAUAAAUUGGAAAGGUUAAUGUUCUAGUUUCUGGAAGGUAAGCCUGGGAGACACAUAAGCAAUUCACUGCUAUAAUUUAGUUGAUGUAAAAUGACGGAAACUGACUCAAUAUGUCAGGUUUAACUCUGCCCAAAAGCAGCAGACAUGUAAGCAGAUGUGCAAUAAAAAAUGAUCUUGAUCCAUUUC
rnacentral:lncRNA from 1 species